GAGUUCAAUUCUGAGGCGUGAUGGGGUGGCCGCAAGGCUGGAAGCAACUGAUUUCACACUGUCAAGAAAAGCCGCUAGCGAGACCGUAGGUGCCCGUACCGCAAACCGACACAGGUAGAUGAGGAGAGAAUCCUAAGGUGAGCGAGAGAACUAUUGUUAAGGAACUCGGCAAAAUAACCCCGUAACUUCGGGAGAAGGGGUGCUCCGGAAACGGAGCCGCAGUGAAAAGUCCCAGGCGACUGUUUACCAAAACACAGGUCUCUGCGAAAGCGAAAGCUGAAGUAUAGGGGCUGACGCCUGCCCGGUGCUGGAAGGUUAAGGGGAUGUGUUAGGGCAACCGAAGCACUGAACUUAAGCCCCAGUAAACGGCGGCCGUAACAAUAACGGUCCUAAGGUAGCGAAAUUCCUUGUCGGGUAAGUUCCGACCCGCACGAAAGGCGUAACGAUCUGGGAACUGUCUCAACAAUAGACUCGGUGAAAUUGUAGUACCGGUAAAGAUGCCGGUUACCCGCAGCAGGACGGAAAGACCCCAUGGAGCUUUACUGUAGCUUGAUAUUGAGAUUCGGCGUUGCAUGUACAGGAUAGGUGGGAGACUGCGAGGUAAGUACGCCAGUAUUUACGGAGUCACCGUUGGGAUACCACCCUUGUAACGUUGAGUUUCUAACAUUGCGCCGUGAUCCGGCGCAUGGACAGUGUCAGGUGGGCAGUUUGACUGGGGCGGUCGCCUCCUAAAGAGUAACGGAGGCGCCCAAAGGUUCCCUCAGUGCGGUCGAAAAUCGCGCGAAGAGUGUAAAGGCAGAAGGGAGCUUGACUGCGAGACAGACAAGUCGAGCAGGGACGAAAGUCGGGCUUAGUGAUCCGGUGGUUCCGCGUGGAAGGGCCAUCGCUCAACGGAUAAAAGCUACCCUGGGGAUAACAGGCUGAUACCGCCCAAGAGUUCACAUCGACGGCGGUGUUUGGCACCUCGAUGUCGGCUCGUCUCAUCCUGGGGCUGAAGUAGGUCCCAAGGGUUGGGCUGCUCGCCCAUUAAAGAGGUACGCGAGCUGGGUUCAGAACGUCGUGAGACAGUUCGGUCCCUAUCCGCUGUGGGCGUUGGAGAUUUGAGUGGAGCUGUUCCUAGUACGAGAGGACCGGGAUGGACGUAGCUCUGGUGCACCAGUUGUUCUGCCAAGGGCAUCGCUGGGUAGCUACCUACGGACGGGAUAAGCGCUGAAAGCAUCUAAGUGCGAAGCCCCCCACGAGAAAAGAUCUCCUCCAAUUAUGGUAAGACCCGUGAGAGACUAUCACGUUGAUAGGUCGGAGGUGUAAGUGUGGUGACACAUUUAGCUGACCGAUACUAAUAGGUCGAAAACUUGAC
rnacentral:rRNA from 1 species